AAAGGCCCCAUCGUGGAGAGGUGAGGCGCCAGCUCCACCCCACCUGCCCCCUCCUGCCUGCCCCUCCUCCACCUCUGCCCUUCUCUCCCCCAGUUACAUCGGGUUCAUCGAGAGCUACCGCGACCCCUUUGGUUCCCGAGGAGAAUUUGAAGGUUUCGUAGCUGUGGUGAACAAGGCCAUGAGUGCCAAGUUUGAGCGGCUGGUGGCGAGCGCAGAGCAGCUGCUGAAGGAGCUGCCCUGGCCCCCAACCUUUGAGAAGGACAAGUUCCUCACCCCUGACUUCACCUCCCUGGAUGUUCUCACCUUCGCUGGCUCCGGCAUCCCUGCCGGCAUCAACAUCCCCAACUACGAUGAUCUGAGGCAGACGGAAGGCUUUAAGAACGUGUCGCUGGGGAAUGUGCUGGCUGUGGCCUACGCCACGCAGCGGGAGAAGCUCACCUUUCUGGAGGAGGAUGACAAGGACCUGUACAUCCUCUGGAAGGGGCCCUCCUUCGAUGUGCAGGUGGGCCUGCACGAGCUGCUGGGCCAUGGCAGUGGCAAGCUCUUCGUACAGGACGAAAAAGGAGCAUUCAACUUUGACCAGGAAACAGUGAUCAACCCAGAGACGGGCGAGCAGGAUCUUUGGCUUUGAGGGGGCUGAUGCGGAGGACGUGAUCUACGUGAACUGGCUCAACAUGGUUCGGGCCGGGCUGCUCGCUCUGGAGUUCUACACACCUGAGGCCUUCAACUGGCGACAG
rnacentral:sRNA from 1 species